rnacentral:rRNA from 1 species
CCUACGGGUGGCAGCAGUAGGGCAUAUUGCUCAAUGGGGGAAACCCUGAUGCAGCAACGCCGCGUGGAGGAUGAAGGUUUUCGGAAUGUAAACUCCUAUUGUCAGAGAAGAUAAUAACCGGUUCUUACGAAUAAACACCGGCUAACCUCGGUCCAGCAGCCGCGGUAAUACGGAGGGGGCAAGCGUUACUCGGAAUCACUGGGCGUAAAGAGCGCGUAGGCGGGACAGCAAGGCAGAUGUGAAAUCCUAUGGCUUAACCAUAGAACUGCAUUUGAAACUGCUAUUCUAGAGUACGGGAGAGGUAGGUGGAAUUCUUGGUGUAGGGGUAAAAUGCGUAGAGAUUAAGAGGAAUACUAGUUGCGAAGGCGGCCUGCUAGACAAUAACUGACGCUGAUGCGCGAAAGCGUGGGGAGCAAACAGGAUUAGAUACCCUAGUAGUC